rnacentral:lncRNA from 1 species
CCUCUAGAUCACUUAUAGUCUUAUGGAUAGCACAACAAGCUAUACUGUUCUAGUUAAGUUAACCCUUCAAUCCUAUAUGAUCAUACUUAAAUAAUGCUGCUCUUGUGGAUAGUACAAUAAAGCAAUACUAUUCAAAUAUGCCAUAAGCAUCAACAUGCACUUAAUCAUCAUAUCGAUUUCUAUAAUAAGCUUUGUGGAUAGCACAACAAGCUUACUAAGAUC